CCUACGGGAGGCAGCAGUAGGGAAUCUUCCACAAUGGACGAAAGUCUGAUGGAGCAACGCCGCGUGAGUGAUGACGGGUUUCGGCUCGUAAAGCUCUGUUUAUAGUGAAGAAAGAUAGUGAUAGUAACUGGUCUUUAUUUUACGGUAAUUACUUAGAAAGUCACGGCUAACUACGUGCCAGGAGCCGCGGUAAUACGUAGGUGGCAAGUGUUGUCCGGAUUUAUUGGGCGUAAAGGGAGUGCAGGCGGUUCAAUAAGUCUGAUGUGAAAGCCUGCGGCUCAACCGGAGAAUUGCAUCAGAAACUGGCAGACUUGAGUGCAGAAGAGGAGAGCGGAACUCGAUGUGUAGCGGUGAAAUGCGUAGAUAUAUGGAAGAACACCAGUGGCGAAGGCAGCUCUCUGGACUGCAACUGACGCUGAGGCUCGAAAGCAUGGGUAGCGAACAGGAUUAGAUACCCCUGUAGUC
rnacentral:rRNA from 1 species